CCUGUCCUUCUAACCCUAGCCGCCAAGCCCACCAGCCGCCGCUAGCUGCUGCCGUUCUCCACUCUCCACGGACCAUGGCUCCACGGCCAGCCGCCAACCACCAGGCCACGGCCGAGCAGGGCGCCAAGCACCUAGGCCGGCCGAGCGGUGCGCCGAGCGCCCGAGCACCCAGGCCACCGCCCGCCGCACCAGAGCGGCCAACGGGGCGCCGAGCCGAGCAGAGUUUCAACAGUGUUCCUGACCGUGUGUUCUUGAUCCAGGUGGCUGCCAGCAAGACGAAGAUCUACAUGGUGCUUGAGCUCGUCAACGGCGGCGAGCUGCUGGACAGGAUUGCGGCCAGUGAGGGAAAGCUCCCGGAGCAGGAGGCAAGGAGGCUCUUCCAGCACCUGGUCCUUUCCUCUACUCUACUCUACUCACUCACUCAUCACUCCCAGGCGGCCAAACAGCUCCCCAGAUUGUACUUUACUUGGAGCUUUAUGCAAGCUGUGUGGAGUACAUCACGCCGCUAAGAGACAGCAUGUCAUCAGUGUUUCCCUCAGCACAUUUAGCUUUUGCCAGCAUCGACCUGAAUGCACACACUGUCUUUGCGAUCACAACGGCCUUGGCAAUUCUCCAAACAGUCUGUCUCAGGAACCUCAGUCUCCUCUCGUAUCUUUCUGCUGACGGUGUGAUGGCGACAAUUGCAGUCAUCCUCUGCCUGUUCUGGGUUGCCUGUUCUGGGCUCUGAUACUCCCAUGUGCGUGCUACCUCUCCAUCAAGAAGGGCGCAGUGCCAUUGUGGGAGAUCAUCCUGUGCAUAGUCAUCAUAAUGAUCGGCGUCGUAUGUGCAUGCGUGGGAUCAUACACCUCAGUCAGCCAGAUGAUUAGCAGCACCAAAUAGCGCACGCUAGCUGAUAUUUAUCUAGUGUCUACGGAUCCUUCCAAAUGCUUUGACAGAGUUGGAACUGGCAGCUUUUCGUAGCUAAGUUUAUUUGUUCCUUCUUUAUGGCAGAAAUUUGGUAAGAGAGAGUUUAGUUGUGGGAGGACAGGCGGCGAAGGAGUAAUCUGAGUUUAGUGUGGUGCUUUUGUGACUGAUCAUCUCUGGAGCUUUUGUGAAUGAUCUAGCUAGCUAUCUGUAAAUGAUCUAGUUGUGAAUGAUAUUAUAAUUGUGAUGCUUUUGUGAAUAUAUAAUUGUGGUGCUUUUG